CACUUGCUGCUCGCCCUUCAGUCCCGCGAGGGGGCGGCUCCGGCCGGCGCCCAGACCAAGGGCUGGGAAUGAUGUUGAAUCCAUGCAUCUUAGACUCCGUAGGAUAUAGAUGGAGAAACUGGAGCAGAGAGUUAUUUCAGUAACUCAAUUCUUUUACCUGCUUACAAUGACUGAAUAAUAGAACUGGAAGUAGAGCCUCAUCAUUUAACUGGACGAAGCUGUGCCAUCCUCAGGGACAUAUCAAAAGGUGGACUGGAACCUCUGGGAAGAUUUAAAGUUAACUGUUAUUUGGUGGUGGCCUGAGGAAAUAAUAUCAACCCUGAUGUUGUCCUGAAACUCAUGUCCA
rnacentral:lncRNA from 1 species